GGCCGCAGAGUUUGAUCAUGGCUCAGAAUGAACGCUGGCGGCGUGCUUAACACAUGCAAGUCGUGCGCGAAAGCGGCUUCGGCCGCGUGCAGAGCGGCGAACGGGUGAGUAACACGUGGACAACCUGCCCAAGAGUGGGGGAUAACCUGGGGAAACUCGGGCUAAUACCGCAUACGUUUCCGGGGUCUCGGCUCCGGCAAGAAAGAUGGCCUCUACUUGUAAGCCAUCGCUCAUGGAGGGGUCCGCGGCUGAUUAGCUAGUUGGUGAGGUAACGGCUCACCAAGGCGACGAUCAGUAGCCGGCCUGAGAGGGUGAACGGCCACACUGGAACUGAGACACGGUCCAGACUCCUACGGGAGGCAGCAGUGGGGAAUAUUGGACAAUGGGGGAAACCCUGAUCCAGCAACGCCGCGUGGAGGAUGAAGGUCUUCGGAUUGUAAACUCCUGUUAGAGGGGACGAAGGAACGCCGGUGAAUAUCCGGCGGACUUGACGGUACCCUCAGAGGAAGCCCCGG
rnacentral:rRNA from 1 species